GGCUGCUUCCAACACCAGCUCCCUGCAGAGCGGCGGGGGUGGCGACAGCAGGAGCAACGUCAGUACUGCAUUCAAACUCGCUCCACCACAGAUUGUCGGGAAUGACGUUGUGGCCAUCACUGAACCGUGGCUGAAGGAUGGUUGUAGUUGGGACCUGAAUGUCUAAGGUUACGCGUUGUAUCGGAGGGAUAGGAAGCAGGACGAAGGAAUUGAUAGUGGACUUCAGGAAGGAGAUGUCAGGAGAACAUACAGGAGUCAUCAUUGAUAGGUCAGCGAUUGUAAAGAUGAACAGCUUCCAGUUCCUGGGUGUCAACGUCUUCGAGGAUCUAACCUGGGCGCAAUACAUUGAAAAAAAUCACUAAGAAGGCUAACUAGCAGAUGCCUGAUAUGUCACCAAGGGCAUCCUGGAUCACAGGCUGGUAUGCAGCAUGUAGACUCAGCCAACUCCAUCAUGGGCGAGGCCUCCCCACCACUGAGGACCUCUUCAGGAGGGGAUGUCUCAGGAAGGGGGCAUCCAUCACACAGGAAACUCAUUAUUGAGGAGGUACAAGAGCCUGAAGACCCAUACUCAAUGUUUUAGGAACCCCCUCUUCGCGUCCACAAUUGGGAUUAAAAUGCACGCAUCAAUUUCUCUGAAUGGUCCAUGGUGCCAUUAACACUACUUCAUUAUUCCUUUUGUUUUGCACUACCUAUUUUAUAAUUUCUAAGAAUUUUAUGGCCUUGGGUUAUACUGUUGCCACAAAACAACAAAUUAUAAGACAGUGUUAAUAAACCUGAUUCUGGUUGGCAUGAACCAUUUGGGCUGAAGGGCCAAUUUUCUUGCUGUAUGACUCUAGGAAUCUAUGCAGCUCAGCUGACAGCUAAAUGGGGUUUUUGGCAUUGGGAUUAAAACGCACGCAUCGACUUUCUCAUCAGGAAAGCCGUUAUAGACACUUUCAUGUCACUUGUUAUUCCUGCCAAUGCCUGUAAGGAGUUUGUAUGUUCUCCCCCUAACCACAUGGCUUUCCUCCAGGUGCUCAGCUUUCUCCCACAGUUCAAAGACUUACUGGGUGGUAGGUUAAUUGGCCAUUGUAAAUUGUCCCAUGAUUAGGCCAGGAUUAAACUGGCAGUGCAGCUCAAAAGGCCAGAGGGGCCUAUUGCAUCUUGUAUCUCACUUAAAUAAAUAAAUAGAUAAAAGUACUUGGAAAGUUAUUUCUCCACUGAGAUCCAUGGGACCUUUCCUAUGCUCAAGGGCAUGUACUUGCUGCUUGUUGGGAUGAAAAAAAACACCAACCUAUUCAAAACGAUGUCUUAAUAUUUAUUCUGCAGUCCAAAGUGAUUAAGUUGAUUAAAGAAAAACCUCAACAGCUCAAAAAUAGGAUUUAUGUCCAGAGAAUUUGUGUCAGCAAUCUUUGCUAUUGAUUCUUGAGUUCAGUGAUACAGAUGUUAUCAUGUGUGGUUUGUACACUUAACAAUGUUCCACUAUAAUAGGAAAUAAGGACCGGAUGAGUGGUGUUGAUUUCUGUACAUUGUUGUGUCUAGAUCUUGGCAUUGGGCAGAAAUCAACAAAACUUCCAGACUUAACUGACCCUCUCUAAAUAUCUGUAACAGACAAUAAUUAAUAAAGAAGCCCUAAAGUAAAUAUGAUUCAACAAUAAAUCUUAUUAUAUCUGUUGUGAAUACUGAUUGCUUUGUUAUCUUGCGCAGCUGUUCUCUCUUUGGUAUGGAGAACAUUUGCCCCCUUGUGGCUUCUCUGAGUACUGUUUGGGCUUUUCCACAUGUUCAAGAGCCAGGAAAUGAUGUUACAGAUUUAUACAUUUCUGAUUAGGUCACACUUAUAUAAUUGCACUCAGUUGUAGUCACCUCAUAAGAAAGAUGUAGAAGCUUUAGGGAAUGUGCAGAGACAGCUUACCA